ensembl:snRNA U2 U2 spliceosomal RNA
AUCGCUUCUCGGCCUUUUGGCUAAGAUCAAGUGUAGGAGUGGUGAUAAUGGACAUCCUUGUCUUGUUCCUGAUUUUGGUGUGAAAUAUUUCAGUUUUUGACCAUUUAGUAUGAUAUUGCCUGUUGGUUUUUCAUAGAUGGCCUUUA